rnacentral:rRNA from 1 species
AGAUUGAACGCUGGCGGCAUGCCUAACACAUGCAAGUCGAACGGGAGUAGCAAUACUCUAGUGGCGGACGGGUGAGGAAUACGUAGGAAUUUGCCCUUAAGUGGGGGAUAACCCGGGGAAACCCGGAUUAAUACCGCAUGACCUCGAAAGAGCAAAGUGGGGGAUCGCAAGACCUCACGCUUUUGGAGAAGCCUACGUCGGAUUAGCUAGUUGGUGAGGUAAUGGCUCACCAAGGCGACGAUCCGUAACUGGUCUGAGAGGAUGAUCAGUCACACCGGAACUGAGACACGGUCCGGACUCCUACGGGAGGCAGCAGUGGGGAAUAUUGGACAA